CGUCCUAUUACUUGAGAUUUUAUCAUCGCAUCUUUUUAAAAUGAAAUAGUGAACUGUUUUACCUAAUUUUGGUUGAAACGGUUGCGUACAGCUUUCUCCUUUUGAUCCAACGUUUUGUAAAUCAGACGACAGGCGAACGAAGAAUUUGGCGAACUCACCGUCAUCUACUUUUGAUGAUCCAGGACUGGAGUUAUUCUAAAGAAUAAAAUAAAUUCCGAAAUCAAUACAUGUCAGAUGAAGCAUCAACACCAAACAAAUGACAAACACCUAGGCAAUCGGCCAAUAACGACGAAAGCUUAGAGCCUUUCGCAGUAUUUGGCUUUGUGUCUUUACUACAAGGCCCCACACAUCGCUGACAUGAUGUAAAAGAAACGCAAGCUGGUUUUCGGUCCAGGUCAUUUGCAGGUUUGGCCGUCAUUUGAUCACCAAUUGUAUUGUUAGUGACCAAUCGUUACAAUGAAUAAAAACCGGCUUCUGGAAAGCACCAACAGCAGAAUUUUCAUUGCCAAAAAAGAAAAAAAAAAUCUGUUUUUUUUUUUUUUUGUGCAUAACUCAACGAAUUGCAAAGGCGACAUUUUCCAGUUUUGGAGGUCAAAGUCUUAGUGUAGACUCUGUGACCAAAUAAAAUUGAAUUUUAAUUGGCACCGACUUUUUUUUUUGUUUUUUUUUUUUGUUUUCUAAGGAUUGUUUAAGAAAACAAGAAUACCGUGGCGAAAAAAAGGGCUCUUAUACACUAAACUUCAAUACUGGAGUCAAACAAAGGAUCUGAUAAAAAAAAAUCAUUGCAACUAUUUAACUAAAAAAACAAUUUCACCCUACACAAUGAGAAGACAGGUAGUUCACAGUUGACAACAGAGUGUUGUCAGUAACAGGAUCACAUAGACUGGGAACUUGUGAACUGGCUUCCUUUUAUUUGUUUAGCAUAUUCAAUUGUUUAACAACUUGUAAAGAUUGAUCCCUAUUCCUAGACAUACAUCUGCCAGAUCAGACUUGAAUGUACAGAGAUGGACUACUACUUGACUGAAUGACCUCUGAAAUCUAAAAAAAUAUUGCUGCAACAUACAGUAUACAGAAAAGAGAUGUGUCAACUACAAAUGAAGUAGGCAUUACCUAGGGAGCCAUGAUUCUGCAUUUUGAUUGUUUCAGCUACACGUGCCUGUAACGAGCACCUUCACCAUGAUCGUACGACAAAAUUAGUCAGGCUGCACAGUCUCCGUGAUCCCAACACGUUUCCAACUGAAUGCAUACACAUAAUUUAUACUUAAUGCAUCCAAAAUAAUAAAUAAUUUUCAAUCUA